CAGUAGCCGCGGUAAUACGGAGGGUGCAAGCGUUAAUCGGAAUUACUGGGCGUAAAGCGUGCGUAGGCGGUUCGUUAAGUCUGUUGCGAAAGCCCCGGGCUCAACCUGGGAAUGGCAAUGGAUACUGGCGAGCUAGAGUGUGUCAGAGGAUGGUGGAAUUCCCGGUGUAGCGGUGAAAUGCGUAGAGAUCGGGAGGAACAUCAGUGGCGAAGGCGGCCAUCUGGGACAACACUGACGCUGAGGCACGAAAGCGUGGGGAGCAAACAGGAUUAGAUACCCCGGUAGUCCCUGUCUCUUAUAC
rnacentral:rRNA from 1 species